rnacentral:rRNA from 1 species
GACGAACGCUGGCGGCGUGCUUAACACAUGCAAGUCGAACGGAAAGGCCCUGCUUUUGUGGGGUGCUCGAGUGGCGAACGGGUGAGUAACACGUGAGUAACCUGCCCUUGACUUUGGGAUAACUUCAGGAAACUGGGGCUAAUACCGGAUAGGAGCUCCUGCUGCAUGGUGGGGGUUGGAAAGUUUCGGCGGUUGGGGAUGGACUCGCGGCUUAUCAGCUUGUUGGUGGGGUAGUGGCUUACCAAGGCUUUGACGGGUAGCCGGCCUGAGAGGGUGACCGGCCACAUUGGGACUGAGAUACGGCCCAGAGUCCUACGGGAGGCAGCAGUGGGGGAUAUUGCACAAUGGGCGGAAGCCUGAUGCAGCAACGCCGCGUGCGGGAUGACGGCCUUCGGGGUGUAAACCGCUUUCGCCUGUGACGAAGCGUGAGUGACGGUAAUGGGUAAAGAAGCACCGGCUAACUACGUG